rnacentral:rRNA from 1 species
GACGGGGGAUGCAAGUGUUAUCCGGAAUCACUGGGCGUAAAGCGUCUGCAGGUGGUUUCCUAAGUCCACUGUUAAACCUUGAGGCUCAACCUCAAAUCUGCAUUGGAAACUAGGAGACUUGAGUAUAGUAGGGGCGGUCGGAACGAUAGGUGGAGCGGUGAAAUGCGUAGAUAUCUAUCGGAACGCCAAAGGUGAAGACAGGCCGCUGGGCUUGUACUGACGCUGAGGAACGAAAGCGUGGGGAGCAAACGGG